UGCUCUUGACAAACUUGGGAAUGACAGUGUUGAAGAGUUUCAGCUCUCCUUCCAACAUACUGACUGGCAACCUUGGCAGACAGCACAGAUGAUCGAUCUGCAGUGUCCCCACUGAAGGUCUUCCUCAUCUGGGUGUGAAUGAUGUCAUGUGAUCCAAUGGCAGGUGCCACUGACGUCUCUUCACUUAUAUUCCUGACGCACAUCUCUUUACAGAUUUUAAAAUAAUUUCUGUUCAUGAAAUUUGCGUGUACAAAAAUCCAAGAUGCUAUCAUUUUAGACCUGAUGAUCCAUUUGCAGAGUAAGUGUAUAUAACUGCUUGGUCUCUCCUUUCCUGGGAGCCCUCUGGAGUCAGCGUCCUAGGACCGAGAGCUCCUCGGUGUUUACUGUAAGAUCAAAGACAAGAAAUUCUGUUUACAGUGUGUAUUCAGUGAGACUUCAGAACAGUAGGGGCACAACUGCCCUGAAAGAAAAAAAAAUGUGUUUUGAAAUACUUGUGAUGUGUUAUAUUUAUUUUGGUUUUUCGGUGCCUUUCUUUUAAAGCCACAUUACUCAGAUCCUGGAUCGUACAUACUGAAAAUGUGUGUGGCUUGGGUGUGUGGCUUAAGCGUUUCCAGAAGUUGCACCGCUCGGAAUUUGUUUUCACGUCAAGUUCAAUGCUGAAGUUAGAAACAAAGAAAGAGAAAGGGGGGAGGGGAAAGAGGGAGGGAGAGAGGGAGAAUAAAGGAAGGAAAAGAACUCUUCCUUUCAGACAAGUCCCUUAAGGAUAGUCCAACAGUUAGCUCUCAACUCCCUCUCCAGGCUGUGUGUUCUGGGAGCUGCAGUCACCACUCUGGCACGGGCAAACAGGAGCCAUCACUCUCUGAGGCACAUAGCAGAGUCAGUCAGCCACUCUGGGGCUCCAGGUAUAAUCCAGGUCCAGAUGAAAGGAACUCUGCAGGACCCCACUGUGCUUAUAAUUAGUUCAAGGAUUGAUGAUUCCCAUUUAUAUCUGAGGUUUUUACGGUUUUACCAGUCAGGAAAAGGUCCUUAUGAAAUUGCUUCUUUCAGGGUUUCCUUCCCUCUCUCUUGGAUUAUCAUCAUUAUGUCCUAACUUUCUGUCUGUCUGUAUGUCUGUCUGUCUGCUUGUCUGUCUGUAUGUGUUCCCAGGUGACUUGAACUCUAAUUAAGAUUGCCCCUAGGAGCUGCCGAGAUGGCUCAUCGGGUAAAUGCUUUGGCUACCAAGUCUGCUUCAGUUCCUGAAUCCACACAAUGAAAUGAGAGCCUAACUCCUUCUUGUCAACCUUGGAGCUCCUGUAAAUCCCACAGACACUGGUGGCGCAUGCAUGCCUCUCCCCGGGAGGAUUAUGAAUUUGAGGAUGGUUUCGGCUAUGCAACUGAGUUUAAGGACAGUCUUGGUUUCCUCAGUAAGACUGCCUCAAAAGCAAACAGAAAUGAAUUUCAGAUGAGGAACAUUAUUCUGGGUUGUUGUUUUGUUGUUGUGUGUGUGUGUGUGUGUGUGUGUGUGUGUGUGUGUGUGUGUGUGUGUGUUGAGAGACUGUACUGGCUGGUUUGUGUAUCAAGUUGUGUAUCAACUUGACACAAACUGGAGUUAUCACAGAGAAUGGAGCCUCCCUUGAGGAAAUGCCUCCAUGAGAUCAAGCUGUAAGGCAUUUUCUCAACUAGUGAUCAAGGAGGGAGACCAAGCCCCUUGUGGGUGGUGCCACCCCUGGGCUAGUAGUCUUAGGUUCUUUAAGAAAGCAAGCUAUGCAAGCCAGGGGAAGCAAGCCAGUAAGUAACAUCCCUCCAUGGCCUCUGCAUCAGCUCCUGCUCCCUGACCUGCUUGAGUUCCAGUCCUGACUUCCUUUGGUGAUGAGCAGCAAUGUGGAAGUGUAAGCUGAAUAAACCCUUUCCUCCCCAACUUGCUUCUUGGUCAUGAUGCUUGUGCAGGAAUAGAAACCCUGACUAAGACAGUCAGUGUCUCAAUAUGUAGCCAAGAAUGUCCUGACUUUGCUUUGUAGCCCAGGCUAACCUCAAACUCCUGACCCUCCUACCUUCCUGAGUCUUCUUAGUGCUGAUAUUGCAAGUACACAAGUGUGUACCACCAUACCUGGCUGUUUUCUGUUUGUUUGUUUGUUUUUGUUUGUUUAAAAAUCUGUACCCAAAAAUUAUGUGGAAUGACUCCAACAUAUAAUGGACUUAGCACAAAUUUCUUCAAAAAUUAUUUUUAGCGUUGGUAGGGACCACACCCAGAUCUUAAUACCCAGCCUCAUCAUGCCUUCUAAAAUGGAAGUCUCCAUUUCGAUAUCUUCAAUGCAGCCCAUCUUCUCAUCUUCAGCCAACAUCCACUGGUGUCUGGGGCUUCCCCUUCACUCUUCCUUUUACUUCAUACAUACUAAGUAGGGACCAGACCCAUGUGUUUCUCUCCCCUUUCAAGUCCCACAGUCAGCACUAGCUGUGAUAGAAUUGUACCACACUUACACUUUAAUAAGCACUUUCUUCUAAUGAGAGAACUGUCAGCCUCUGGAUAUACUUUUACACAGAACCAAAAUCCAUCACUUAAAAUAUGUAGGCAUACAGCUAUGCUUCCUUCUUUUCACAGAUUUUAAGAUUUAUUUGUAUGUGUGUGUGCCCAUGUAAACUUAUGUGCACUCUGUGUGUGUGUGUGUGCAGGGGCCCUUAGAAGCCAGAGGGCAUCAGAUUUCCUGAACUGGAACACAUGUGGUUGUGAGCUGCUGGGCUGAGAUCUGAACCCUAGUCCACUCCAAGAGCAGUUAAGUGCUCUUGAUUUCUGAGCUAUCUCUCUAGCGUCUUCUUUUCUUUUGUUAAGGCUUGCUCAAUGUCCCUGGAUUGGUGAGUUAUCAAUAGCCUGUGGUUAUGGCCUGUGAUAAUUGCCUAAGCUGGAUGUGGUGGUGUGCUCGAGGAAACUCACGAACCUAAGGCAGAAGAAUCUCAGACUCAAGGCUAGCCUGGACUACAUUGUAAGGCCUUGUUCUAUAGUACAUAAAAGACAUAGUAGGUAAUUAAAACACAGUCUAGUCUGUUAUACAAAUAACCUGAGCUAGAUAUGGCAUCGGGGAUGCUCCUGUGAGACGGGCAGGCACACAACAGGUUACAUAUAAGGUGACCCAGGGAGACUGCACAUGUGUCUUGGUAACUGUGUCUUCCUGUUUGAGUAGGGAGUUAGAUGCGAUAGAACCACAGAAACUGCACUUGGGUAGCUAAGUCUCCUGGUUAUGAAGGGAGUUGGAUGGGGAAACUGAAUGGCGCUGGUGCUGAUCUUGGCACCCGUGUCUCCCGAGGGUUGGCAUGUCCCUUUGUGGUUUAUCUGCCUUGAGGCUCUUCAGCUGGGUUCUUUUUGCUAAACCAGAAAAUAAAGUUCCCUGGAACUUUUACAACAAUACACAUGUGACACUACAAAAUUAUUUCUUUGAAAGAUUCUGCUUUCGGUAUACUGUCACUUGCCCUGUGGCUUUGAACUCUCCUCCUUGGCUGUUCAAGAGGGUCACUGGGAAAGCACCCUAAGUGGGAGAAUGGGUACAUGGUAAUUCAGGAGGGGAAAAGGGUCACUUUACCAUAGAUAUGCUAUCCAUUCAUGAAUAUUCAUAAGACCUUUAACAAUCGACAGAGUGGGGAUUGGAGAGAUGGCUCUGUUGUUCUUACAGAGCACCCAGGUUAGGCUCCCGGACCCCACAUGAUGAGUUACAAAUCUGUAACUCCAAUCCCAGGGUAUCCCAUGUGCUCCUGCAGCCUCUGAUAGGACUAUGCCUGCUGAUGGUACCCAGACACCUUCAGGCAAAAACUCACACAAAUAAAAUAGUAGGAAUCCACAGAGCAGAACUCAACGGACUGCUCCACUCACUUUGGGUCGUCUUGCCCAGUGCGUCUGGAGUGUAUGCUUUGUUCUGUUUCCCUAGACAAGCCAUUGCGCGAGCUCUCUGUAUCUCUCCACUGGAAUCUUUCCUUUGAGGACGCCAGAACAGAGAGGAGACCUUCAGCUUGGUGACAGUCCCCUGUACUCCAGAGGAUCACGUGGGCCCAUGUCUUUGAGACCAGCCAGUCUGGUAAACAGAGAGAGAACCCGUGUUAAAGACAAAAGAAGUGAAGCGUGCAGCUGACUUUGGGUUCUCAUUGCAGAAGCUCAGCCCUUGGCUGCCUAACUCAGGAUCGCUGCCAUGAGUUUGAGGCUAGCUUGUCUACGUAGCAAGUUCCAGGCCAGCCAAGGCUACAUAGAGAAAGCACCAAAAAGGACCGGGGAGAUGGCUUGCAAGGUUCUUUUGGUAAACCUGAUGGCAUGAGUUAGAUCUGCAAAAUCCGUGAAGUGGAUGAAGAGAACCAACGUCCACAGGUCAGGUUAUCCUUUGACCUCUAGACUGUGGCACAUACCUGGCCACGCAUUUGCAUGUAUGUCAGCGUGCACACAUAAAUAGGUGGUGAAGAGGUCAACAAAAACACAAGAGACAGGCUGGGCUGUGGUGGAGUACGCUUUUAAUUUCAGCAGGAAGCAGAAGCAGGAGAAUGUCUGGGUUCAAGGCCAGCCUGGUCUACAGAGUGAGUUCCAGGUUAGCCAGGGCUACAGUAAGAGUAGUCUUUACAAAAGCUUGAGUAGAUCCUGACAUUCCCUUGCUUAAAGUUCUUCAAGGAUAUUCCUCUCAUCCCACUCGGUAGGCAGGGUGCAGGUGAAUGUGGUGCCUUUCGAAGCCUCCGGCUUCCUUCUCUGUUCUAUCAGCUGGUGGCUGCUCUGGCCUGCUCUGACUCACGUUUCUCCUUUAUUCUUAGAGGGAAUUCUCCACAUCAUUACCAGAUUCUUCACUCCUGAAUGAUUUCUUCAGGGAGGUCUGGGGACAUCCCUUUAUGGGGAGUUCUACACUCAAUGCUUUGAGAGUACUAAGAAGUGGAGUAUCAGUCCCUCAGCCAUCAAACAGCCUCCAAAAGCCCUCUUCAUUUCCCGGAACUAAACUCCAGUCCUCACAGUGCCCACUCGGUGCUGCACGGCCUCCCAUCUCUACCACUCGCCUGCUAUCUAGUUUCUCCAGCAUCUUAGGGUGCAGAGAGCCUUCCCAUCUUGGGACUUUGGCCCUUGCUAUUCCUUCUCUCUGGAGCCCCUCUCCCACAUGCUUACACAGCUCACCCAUUUCUGUUUUCUAAAUGUCAUGUUAGUGAUGCCACCUCAUUUAAAGCAGCAUCCUGUCAGCCUGCCGCGCUGUUUUCUUCUUUCCAUAACCUAUUUUCCCCUCUACUCCAAUGUUGGCUUUGUGAUGGAGAUCGUCCCUCUGCUUUAUUUUACCAACAAAAGUUCUCUCUCGUUCUGGAUGUCUGUUGGUAGGAGAUGGUCUUACUUGGUAGCCUAGGCUGUCCCGGUGCACACUAACUGUAGCCCAGGCUGGUCUUAAAUUCAGAGCAAUCUUCUUGCUUUGACUUCCAGAGUGCUGUGUAAACUGCCACACCCAGUUUACGGGCACAUUCAAAGCAUUGUUUUCUUAUAAAAGAUGCCUACUCUGUUUACCAAAGGAUCUGUUUUAGUGCCUGACACACAGUAGGAAAUGAGCACUUUGGGGAAUUAGAUUCAGGCCAAUCGGAAGGGAUGACGAUGAGGAGCAAAGAGCGCACUUAGCUUUAAUACUUAUUUGUUUGCCUUUUAUUUAUAGUUAGGCUAGUCAAAGGCAGCAGUGCGUUAUGGGAAAGUACAGAACAGUCAUCCGGGAUAAUCUGUCACCUUUGGACCAGCAGAAUCCUUGUUUAUAUACAUAGUGUUUGUACCUCUGACAUCACGGCUGGUACACAAUCCAUCCUGAAGGCCAGGCCUAUUAGUAAGAUGUGUUCAGUGCUUACUGGAGCAAACUUUAGGCCUUUCUGAAUGUGAACAACUGAAGAAGAACAUUUAGUGGGCACUGGGAUGAAGACUGAGUCGCCUUUAAAGUUAUGUCUUCUACACAGUCCUCUUCAGGCAAAAAUUAGAAUCGAGGGGCACAGAACUCGAUUGAAAAACCUUCCGGUCAGCUGUACUCAGGGUUGAGAGUUCCUGUCUUUAGGAAUUAAAGUGCGUGUGUGAAUUUGUUAUACACUUAGACUUGAAGGCCCUGCCCACAGCUCAGCAGGAAAGGGUAAAGGAACACACUGGAGGCAAAAGCAGCCCACAUAAUUGCACUCAAGUUUUUGAAAAUGAGGAAGAGGGAGGCGGAAGCAAGAUGGCUCAGCCGGUAAAGGGCACCAACUGCUCGGGCUGAAGACCUGAGAUCAGCCCUGGGGUCCUCCAUGCUGUAAGAAGAGAACUGUCCCCUGGUCCCCAUACACAUGGUGUGGGACACGUAGGUAUGUGUGCAUGCAAGAAAAGGAAAUAAAAAAUGCAAUUUGCAGACAACUGGAAAGUCAGUUUCAGGUCUUUUGAGUUGGAUUUUGGCUGGGGCGUCAUCUCAGGGUGACGGGACUCUGAGGUGUGUGAGACAGAGGUCCUUUGUUUUGGGUAUGCUUGUUCUGCUCCUGUUCUUAGUUUGGGUUCUCUGCUCCAGGUAACAGUGCUUGACUGUGAGUGAAUGUUAACUCUUCCAUAAGCCAAUAUGUUCCCCUCUAGUAAUCUGAUUAGGUAGAAGGAAGGAUGGAAGGCAGGAGGAAAGACAGAGGCAAGCAGGCAAGGGAAACAGUGCGUUUAAUACCAUUUAUUUAACAUCUGGUCCUGAGAUCCAAAGACCUUGGUCGUGUUGUUGCUUUGGUCUGAUCACUUAACAUUUAGAGUUUAUUCUCCAAAGCAGGGCCAGUUAGCCUCUUCUGUGAUUGGCCAGGUAAUAAGACUUUUAGAAACAGCAGGCCAUGGAUAUGCUCUCUGUGCAAUCCCAUGACUCUUCCACCCAACCACCUCCAUUUUCUGUCUGGAGUAGAUUGAUGCUAGAACUGUUAACAUGUUAACACCGUCAUGCCAAAGGAAGCUGGGCCUGGUGCUCACACCGGUCAUCCCAGGAUUCAGAACACCGAGAAGGGGAGAUCUCAAGUUGGAGUCCUUCCUGGGCUGCAGAGUGAGACUCCUCUAUUUCAAAAAGAAAGAGAAAAAAAGAAAGAAAGGAAAGGAAAGAAAAAAAGUCAAAUCAAACAAACACCCACUGAGAAAUGCUAAAGGAAAAUCCCCAAGGGUUCAAGACUUAGUGCGGGUCACGAAGGUCAGGACCAAGCUCCACACCCAGCCCUGCCAGAGCGUUUUGCAUAGGAGGAGGAAAGGGCUUGUAAAGGAAAGUGCAAGGCUUUGUCUAGUGGACGCACUUCGAGAAAUAUUCAAAACUUGUUUUGCAUUCUUGUUUUGCAUUUAGUGUAGUUGAUGUCAUCUUAUUUUAUAAUCACAACACAAAGAUGCUAUUUCCAAGGGACUUUAAUGCUCCUGUGACAUUUUUCCAUUCCAAAUAUUAGGACAGAUUUUAGAGUUUCUGCCUUCCUUAAUAUACAUGAAAAACAAUGAAAUGCAGGGGGUGGGGGGAGACAAUUAGGUUGUUAAUUUAGCACUUACAGUGCAGCUUGUCGCUUUUUCUCAAUUAGCGUAUGAUUAAAGCAUUUCCAUUUCUUGUUCCUCAAGUUUUCUGUAUCUAAGGUAGAGCAGUGACAUGUGUACUAAUUAUCUUAAGCCCUUUGAAGUCCUUGGGCGUCUGUAUUGUGUCAUUAGAGUAUGCCUUAAAGACUAUUUUUCUCAUUAUACCAGCGAAAGCUAGCCGAAUGUAGACCAGCGAUAAACAACCCUUCGGAGACUUACUCCUGAGAGCAGAGGCGCAAGGCAGCCCUGGGAAGGUUCCGUAGGCAGCAACAAGCACCCAGGUGGAGAUGGUGAUGCAAGAGGAAGCAAGAGGGGUAGUGCGCCUGCGCACCAGGCAGGGCACGGCCAGGUACCGAGCCAACAGCAUUUAUGGCAAUGACAAAGGAGAGAAAGGCGAUGAAGAACCAAAUGAAUGUUUCAGGCAGAAGAAACAUCGUCUGUCAGAGUUACUUAAUUUCUAGAGGGUGAGCUGGGAGGACAGAGGACAUGGCUCAGCAACUGACUGCUAGCCCAGUGUGUGCCGGCGAACCACAGCCCGCACAAGACUGUGGAACUAGUGGCUGGAGAAUUACCUUCCUCAUGAGCAAGGAUGGGAGGGCAGCCACGGAUGACGGCCCAUGUCUAUAAUCUUUGUGUUCAGGAAGCUGAGACUGGAGGAUUGGGUUGGGCUUGAGGUUAGCCUAGGCUACGUACUACAAAACCUAUUUCAAGUCAAAUCAACAAUAACGUCAAAGACUGGGCUACAGAAAGGCUGGUGCCUGAUGCUAGUGUUACUGUAGAGAUGUGAGUUUCAGGAGUUCAGCUGUUGGAAUUGCCCCUUUCCCUUCAGGGUACCCUCGGGAAUUUUUAUGUGAGUGUUCAAACACUGUAAAGAUUGGUAACAAUUGUAAUUUGAUCCUGAGAGGUAACACAAGGGGGACGCUCCUGAGUCAUUCAGUUCCUAAUUGAAGUUCUUGGCCUUGAGAAUAUUCUUUAAGGAGAGACUCAAGACUAAGUUCAAAGCCUUUCCUUAAAUUUCAGCAGGUCCCAAAGGAGACCAGCGAGCUGCAGAUGCUUGUUGCAUGGUUUCCUUCCAGGAGACUACUCUGAAUUCAUUCUGAAGUCAAGCAUGUAGACUAAGACAGCAACGGUGCAGAAGACUGGUGCCUGGUACCCCUCUGGGCAUGUGCAGUUCGAGGCCAUGCAGCUUGAGGAGCCUUGAUCCACAGUCCGGCUAUCAGGCUCUGCCCAAAUCCAAACAGCCUCUGAGCAGACAGGCAUUUAGAGUGCUGUAUUCGUCUGCUUAGAUCUCUCUCUUUUUUUUUUCCUUCUUUUUUCUUUUUUCGGAGCUGGGGACUGAACCCAGGGCCUUGCGCUUGCUAGGCAAGCGCUCUACCGCUCUACCGCUGAGCUAAAUCCCCAACCCCUGCUUAGAUCUCUUAUGGCAUGCGUCUCUGCAAUCUUUUAAAUUUGUUUCUCUGCCUACCAGCAAACAGCCCAGAGCUUUCAAUCACUCGAGGGGACUAUUCUUUAUGGGAUAUUUGUGUUCUCCUGUUUGGAUUUUUAAUUAAAAAAAAAACUCAUUGAA